AUUGAACGCUGGCGGCAGGCCUAACACAUGCAAGUCGGACGAGCGGCGGACGGGUGAGUAAUGUCUGGGGAUCUGCCUGAUGGAGGGGGAUAACUACUGGAAACGGUAGCUAAUACCGCAUACCAUCAGAUGUGCCCAUAUGGGAUUAGCUUGUCGGUGGGGUAACGGCUCACCUAGGCGACGAUCCCUAGCUGGUCUGAGAGGAUGACCAGCCACACUGGGACUGAGACACGGUCCAGACUCCUACGGGAGGCAGCAGUGGGGAAUAUUGCACAAUGGGCGCAAGCCUGAUGCAGCCAUGCCGCGUGUAUGAAGAAGGCCUUCGGGUUGUAAAGUACUUUCAGCCGGGAGGCGUUACCGACAGAAGAAGCACCGGCUAACUCCGUGCCAGCAGCCGCGGUAAUUC
rnacentral:rRNA from 1 species